rnacentral:rRNA from 1 species
UAGCUAAUCCUGGUCGGACAUCAGGAGGUUAGUGCAAUGGCAUAAGCUAGCUUGACUGCGAGCGUGACGGCGCGAGCAGGUGCGAAAGCAGGUCAUAGUGAUCCGGUGGUUCUGAAUGGAAGGGCCAUCGCUCAACGGAUAAAAGGUACUCCGGGGAUAACAGGCUGAUACCGCCCAAGAGUUCAUAUCGACGGCGGUGUUUGGCACCUCGAUGUCGGCUCAUCACAUCCUGGGGCUGAAGUAGGUCCCAAGGGUAUGGCUGUUCGCCAUUUAAAGUGGUACGCGAGCUGGGUUUAGAACGUCGUGAGACAGUUCGGUCCCUAUCUGCCGUGGGCGCUGGAGAAUUGAGGGGGGCUGCUCCUAGUACGAGAGGACCGGAGUGGACGCAUCACUGGUGUUCGGGUUGUCAUGCCAAUGGCA